rnacentral:rRNA from 1 species
AGCCCUAAGUGGGUGGUAAACUCCAUCUAAGGCUAAAUAUGACCACGAGACCGAUAGCGAACAAGUACCGUGAGGGAAAGUUGAAAAGCACUUUGAAGAGAGAGUUCAAGAGUACGUGAAACCGUUUAGGGGUAAACCUGAGAAACCCGAAAGGUCGAAGGAAGAAAUUCAUUCGCGUUUCGUCGCAGGCGUCGAGCGGGAUCGUGUGACGGGGAGCGUUCGCGCGUUUCCCGCGCCUCCCGUUCUUCGAACCGGUGACGAACGCGUGCACUUUUCUUCUGGUAGGACGUCGCGAUCCGUUGGGUGUCGGUCUACGGCUCGCGGUGGAGCCCGUUCGUCGUGCUUCUCGUACGUACGGACGGACCCGUGUGUCCCGGCUGACUCGCUCGACGGUAUACGAAAGGUUUAAGGCCGCUCUCGGAGCGUUCGGCUCGUGGCAAGCGCGCCAGAUGCGUCGGCGAUCGGACCUAGUGCCGAUUCUGACCUCUGGUGACUGUUGGCUGCGAAGUUCUCGAACAGACCUUAAGACCGAUCUGCGACGCUAUAGCUUUGGGUACUUUCAG